UACAGAGGUGGCAAGCGUUGUUCGGAAUUACUGGGCGUAAAGGGCGCGUAGGCGGCUUUUUAAGUCAGACGUGAAAUCCCCCGGCUUAACCUGGGAACUGCGUCUGAUACUGGGAAGCUUGAGUUCGGGAGAGGGAUGUAGAAUUCCAGGUGUAGCGGUGAAAUGCGUAGAUAUCUGGAGGAACACCGGUGGCGAAGGCGGCAUCCUGGACCGACACUGACGCUGAGGCGCGAAAGCUAGGGUAGCAAACGGG
rnacentral:rRNA from 1 species